CAGCAGCCGCGGUAAGACAGAGGAUGCAAGCGUUAUCCGGAAUGAUUGGGCGUAAAGGGCACGCAGGCGGGCUUUUAAGUGAGGUGUGAAAUCCCCGGGCUUAACCUGGGAAUUGCAUUUCAGACUGGGAGUCUAGAGUACUUUAGGGAGGGGUGGAAUUCCACGUGUAGCGGUGAAAUGCGUAGAGAUGUGGAGGAAUACCGAAGGCGAAGGCAGCCCCUUGGGAAUGUACUGACGCUCAUGUGCGAAAGCGUGGGGAGCAAACAGGAUUAGAUACCCCCGUAGUCCCUGUCUCUUAUAC
rnacentral:rRNA from 1 species